ACAUGCCUACAUCAUAGCGUUAAUGCACCAGAUCCCAUUCGAAUUUUACAGUUAAGUGCACUCAGGAUAGAGUAGUAUUGGGAUGGGUGACUACCCAGGAAGUCCCAAUAUUUUACAUGAC
rnacentral:rRNA from 1 species